UAUUUAUUUUUUUGGAGGAAUGGUGUUAUUUUAACGACUUACCCGCACAAAACUUUUGAUACUUUGGAUAUAGCAUUAUUUGGUGGGAAAGUAAAGAAGAUUUAUCCGCAAUCGUUUUACAAUGACAGCUAAACAAACCCGCAGGAUCUACAGCAGGGAACUGUUUCAUUUGUCAAAUAUUCAUACGGAUAUUAAUUUUAUUAUUUGUACAAUCCACCAUCUAAUAGUAACAUAACGAUUUCGGCAGUGCAUACUGAUAUUCUUUCCUUAAUUUGAAAAAAAGAAAAGAAGAAAAGAGAAGAAAUAAAGAAAGUUCUUCUUGUUUGAUUUGAUGGAAGUCUCUCCUUAUGAGUUGACACACAUGCUGUUGAACUUUACAGCUAUUUAUAAAAGCCCUUCUACUUUACUUCGCCAUCAU